AAGGAAAAAGUAGUUGAAUAGCCGUCGAAAUCGCUCGACAACAUUCAAGCUCAAGAGCAAAGGGGAGCUAAAUCCGAUAAAGGGAAGGAAAAAGUAGUUGAAUAGCCGUCGAAAUCGCUCGACAACAUUCAAGGUUUCGCUCGUUAGCUAUCGGAUUCGGGAUCAAAGAAGUCGAAGUCAUCCACACUAUCGAAGCCCCAUUUUGGUACAAAUUUUGGUUGAACUUUGAAAUGGCAUGUAUAGGACCAUCCUUUGUUGAAGGUCAUGUA